CUACCGCUAUUGGAGUUCGAUUAAGCCAUGCGAGUCGCGAGAAAUUAGAUUCUCGGCGUACCGCUCAGUAACACGUGGGUAACCUGCCCUAUGCUGGAUAAUAACCUCGGGAAACUGAGUAUAAUGAUCCAUAGUUCACUACGCCUGGAACGGUGAGUGGACGAAAGCUCCGGCGGCAUAGGAUGGGCCUGCGGCGUAUCAGGUUGUAGGGGGUGUAACGUACCCUCUAGCCCUCUACGCGUACGGGUGUUGGGAGACAUAGCCCGGAGAUGGAUUCUGAGACACGAAUCCAGACCCUACGGGGUGCAGCAGGCGCGAAAACUUGGCAAUGCGAGAAAUCGUGACCAGGGAACUCCAAGUGCAUCGGGUAAGACCGGUGCUUUUCUUGACUCUAAAUAGGUCUUGGAAUAAGGGGUGGGUAAGGACGGUGCCAGCCGCCGCGGUAAUACCGGCGCCUCAAGUGGUAGUCGCUUUUAUUGGGCCUAAAACGUCCGUAGCCGGUCUGAUACAUUCGUGGGUAAAUCAACCAGCUCAACUGGUUGAAUUCUGCGAGGACGGUCAGACUUGGGACCGGGAGAGGUGUGGGGUACGCUCAGGGUAGGGGUAAAAUCCUGUCAUCCUGAGCGGACCACCUGUUGCGAAGGCGCCACACUAGAACGGAUCCGACGGUCAGGGGACGAAGCCUA
rnacentral:rRNA from 1 species